rnacentral:rRNA from 1 species
CCCCUAGAUGUUCUGGGCCGCACACGCGCUACACUGAAGGAGGCAGCGUGUACUCCUGGAUCGAAAGAUUUGGGUAACCCGCGAAUCUCCUUCGUGCUAGGGAUUGAGGUUUGCAAUUAUCCUUCAUGAACGAGGAAUUCCCAGUAAGUGCAAGUCAUAAGCUUGCGCUGACUACGUCCCUGCCCUUUGUACACACCGCCCGUCGCUACUACCGAUUGAAUGAUUUAGUGAGGACUUCGGACUGGGACCGAUGCGGCUUUCGGGCUGCGUCGGUAUUCUGGAAAGAUGUCCAAACUGUAUCAUUUAGAGGAAGUAAAAGUCGUANCA